AUUGAACGCUGGCGGAAUGCUUUACACAUGCAAGUCGAACGAUGAACCUUAGCUUGCUAAGGGGAUUAGUGGCGAACGGGUGAGUAAUGUAUCGGAACGUAUCCAAUAAUGGGGGAUAACUGGUCGAAAGAUUAGCUAAUACCGCAUACGUCCUACGGGAGAAAGCUAGGGACCUUCGGGCCUGGCGUUAAUGGAGCGGCCGAUAUCUGAUUAGCUAGUUGGUGGGGUAAAGGCUCACCAAGGCGACGAUCAGUAGCUGGUCUGAGAGGACGACCAGCCACACUGGAACUGAGACACGGUCCAGACUCCUACGGGAGGCAGCAGUGGGGAAUUUUGGACAAUGGGCGAAAGCCUGAUCCAGCCAUUCCGCGUGAGUGAAGAAGGCCUUCGGGUUGUAAAGCUCUUUCGCAAGAGAAGAAAACUUAAGCUCUGACAUAGCUUGAGGUUGACGGUACCUUGAUAAGAAGCACCGGCUAACUACGUGCCAGCCGCCGCCGUAA
rnacentral:rRNA from 1 species